UACGGAGGGGGCUAGCGUUAUUCGGAAUUACUGGGCGUAAAGCGCACGUAGGCGGCUUUGUAAGUAAGAGGUGAAAGCCCGGAGCUCAACUCCGGAACUGCCUUUUAGACUGCAUCGCUUGAAUCCAGGAGAGGUGAGUGGAAUUCCGAGUGUAGAGGUGAAAUUCGUAGAUAUUCGCAAGAACACCAGUGGCGAAGGCGGCUUACUGGUCCGGUUCUGACGCUGAGGCGCGAAAGCGUGGGGAGCAAACAGG
rnacentral:rRNA from 1 species